UUCUCCAGUGGCAUUGCCAUUGCCCAGGAGGGGCCCAGUCACCAUGAGAGCUCCCUUGCCUUACCUGGUGGAAGAAUGUGCCUUCAGGCCACAGUUGUGCUGCUAGAACAGUCUCAUAGCUGCAGUUCAGCUGUGCUUCCUCAGCCUACUAUCAUAGGCUUCCUUGGCCGUCUGUCGUAUGGCUGUUUUCCAAACCUGUGGAGUCUGUUACUGUUCUUUCUGCAAGGACUCACCUACUUGAGCCUCGAUUUUUGUUGUAGAGAUUAAAUGAGAUAAUAUGAGUGGCAGCUCUUCAUGAGUCCUGCAGUGCUAAGCAAAUGUCAGAAAUUGGUAUAUUAGACUAUUUGUCUUCUGAAUGGAUUGCUGUCGUGGACACAGACACUGAUCUUCAUCUGGUUCAUUGUAUUUAUAUGUGAGGGAUGGGUGGCUGCAGGGGUCCAAGAGCAGCCUCCUGAAGUGAGGGUGGCAAGUAUCUGACAGGGUACCCACAAAGGCAGACAAGGACUCUGAGAACCAACAGGACUUUUCUGGUCUUAUUCUGAGGCUAAGACAAAAACUGCACCUGAGCCAGAUCUCUCAGCCUGGCAGCUCCAGGACCCCUGGGCCCUGCCACUGGCCCAUCUCAACUGCCAGGACCUAGAGCAUCAUCAAGCUGCAGGUUAAACAGGUUGAUUGGUUCUGACUUGACUGGACCUCUACAAGGACCUAUGGUUGCACUUGUUGAUACUUUCCCAAGGAGCCACAAUGCUGAGCAAUGAGGGGAGGAGCAUGUGUUAGUUCAUUCAUUAAGUCCUAAAUGUUAACUACUCUGUGCCAGGUGCUGAGCCAGGCACCAGAGAUACAAUGAUGAACAAGACACAUAAAUCUUACCCUCAUUGAGCUUACACCAUGUGAAAGAGAAGUAUGAAAUAAUUACACAUUAUUUUUUUUUAGUUUUUGAGAUGGAGUUUCGCUUUUGUCUCCCAGGCUGGAGUGCAGUGGUGUGACCUCAGCUCACUGCAACCUCUGCCUCCCAGGUUCAAGCGAUUCUCCUGCCUCAGCCUCCCAAGUAGCUGGGAUUACAGGCACCUGCCACCAUGCCUGGCUAAAUUUUGUAUUUUUAGUAGAGAUGGGCUUUCACCAUGUUGGUCAGGCUGGUCUUGAACUCCUGACCUCAAGCGAUCCUCCCACCUUGUUCUCCCAAAGUGCUGGGAUUGCAGGCGUGAGACACGGCGCCUCACAAAUUACACAUUAUUCAACUGUAAUUGUGAAAGUGAUUCUAAGGAAAAAGUACAGAGAGCUGUGGGAAAACAUAAUAGGAAAUCUUUGUCAUUCUGUCACUAUUGUCUAUUAGGCUGUCACUGUUGUCAUUGUCACCCCUACCCUCCCGCAGAGAGUGAUUCCCAUUUGCCAGAGCUCAUUUAUUGUCCUGAAGGUCUGUGAAAAGAUGACAAAGUAGUGUUGCCUUCUUUCCACUUUCCCAAGUCUCACAUGAGCACCCCUAACUGGCAGAACCAAUUCAUACCCACAAGCCUAGCUGUGAGGGGAACUGGGAAAUGUAUUCCCAGCUUUCCAACCUCUCCACCCAGGAGAUGAAACAGCCAAUUUAGGCCAGGUGCAAUGGCUUACACAUGUAAAACCAGCACUAUGGGAGGCUGAGGAGGGAAGAGUACUCGAGCCCAGGAGUUUGAGACCAGCCUGGACAACAGGGCGAGACCAUCAUCUCUGCAAAACAUACAAAAAAAAGUUAGCUAGGCGUGGUGUCCUGUGCCUGUGGUCCCAGCUUCUCAGGAGGUUGAGGCAGGAGGAUCGCUUGAGAUCGAGGCUGCAGUGAGCCAUGAUUGCGCCACUGCACUCCAGUCUGGGUGACAGCAAGACCCUAUCUCAGAAAAA
rnacentral:sRNA from 1 species